rnacentral:misc_RNA from 1 species
GCAAACUUGGUCAUUUAGAGGAAGUAAAAGUCGUAACAAGGUUUCCGUAGGUGAACCUGCGGAAGGAUCAUUAACGAAUUUUAAAGUCGAUCGGUUGUGCUGGCAUUAACCCAACGCAUGUGCACGUCGAUCGGCAAACCAUCCACACACCUUGUGAACACCUAGACCACAGAGAGGUUCGUUGGGACUCCGACUUGAGCAACUCUGCUGGUACUUUUUCACACACUCUGCAUGUGAUUGGAAUGUUUUAGUGCUUUUAAGCAUGAUAAACAAAGAACAACUUUCAACAACGGAUCUCUUGGCUCUCGCAUCGAUGAAGAACGCAGC